UACGAAGGGGGCUAGCGUUGCUCGGAAUUACUGGGCGUAAAGCGCACGUAGGCGGCUUUCUAAGUCGGGGGUGAAAUCCUGGAGCUCAACUCUGGAACGGCCUUUGAGACUAGAGGACUUGGGUACGGGAGAGGUGAGUGGAAUUCCGAGUGUAGAGGUGAAAUUCGUAGAUAUUCGGAAGAACACCAGUGGCGAAGGCGGCUCACUGGCCCGUUACCGACGCUCAGGCGCGACAGCGUGGGGAGCAAACAGG
rnacentral:rRNA from 1 species